GGCUUGUCAGUCUAGGGGUAUGAUUCCUAUUUUGGGUAAAAGAGGUCCUGGGUUCAAAUCGUGGAUGAGACU